AAUAGAUACCCAGGUAGUCCACGCCGUAAACGAUGAGUGCUAAGUGUUAGAGGGUUUCCGCCCUUUAGUGCUGCAGCUAACGCAUUAAGCACUCCGCCUGGGGAGUACGGCCGCAAGGCUGAAACUCAAAGGAAUUGACGGGGGCCCGCACAAGCGGUGGAGCACGUGGUUUAAUUCGAAGCAACGCGAAGAACCUUACCAGGUCUUGACAUCCUCUGCUAACCCUAGAGAUAGGGCGUUCCCCUUCGGGGGACAGAGUGACAGGUGGCGCAUGGUUGUCGUCAGCUCGUGUCGUGAGAUGUUGGGUUAAGUCCCGCAACGAGCGCAACCCUUGACCUUAGUUGCCAGCAUUCAGUUGGGCACUCUAAGGUGACUGCCGGUGACAAACCGGAGGAAGGUGGGGAUGACGUCAAAUCAUCAUGCCCCUUAUGACCUGGGCUACACACGUGCUACAAUGGAUGGUACAAAGGGCUGCGAGACCGCGAGGUUAAGCCAAUCCCAUAAAACCAUUCUCAGUUCGGAUUGCAGG
rnacentral:rRNA from 1 species